CGCUGGCGGCGUGCCUAAUACAUGCAAGUCGAACGGUCUUUUCUAUGGAAGCUUGCUUCCACUGAGAAGAUAGUGGCGAACGGGUGAGUAACACGUGGGUAACCUGCCCAUAAGAGGGGGAUAACAUCCGGAAACGGGUGCUAAUACCGCAUAGUUUUCUUGAUCGCAUGAUUGAGAAAGGAAAGAUGGCCUUUGUGCUGUCGCUUAUGGAUGGACCCGCGGCGUAUUAGUUAGUUGGUGAGGUAACGGCUCACCAAGACGAUGAUACGUAGCCGACCUGAGAGGGUGAUCGGCCACAUUGGGACUGAGACACGGCCCAAACUCCUACGGGAGGCAGCAGUAGGGAAUCUUCCGCAAUGGACGAAAGUCUGACGGAGCAACGCCGCGUGAGUGAAGAAAGGUUUUCGGAUCGUAAAACUCUGUUGUCAGAGAAGAACAAGUUGGAGAGUAACUGCUCCAGCCUUGACGGUAUCUGACCAGAAAGCCACGGCUAACUACGUGCCAGCCGCUGC
rnacentral:rRNA from 1 species